rnacentral:lncRNA from 1 species
CAGCAAUAAAACAUGUGAUCGUAUUUUACCCGGGGUAGUACAUUAAACGUGCUUUUGGGACGUCAGGCACGUUCACCCGUCGGGUUAAUUAAUGUAUCUUUUACAUCGAUUUCGCGUCCUCGGAAAGUCGAAAUGCCAUUUUAAAAGCCGCGAAGAUUUUAAUAUAACCCUUCCUCGAUGAAAACUAUGGAAAAUGAAUCUACUUGUUCAAUAAAAU